UUCAAGGGCUAUAUCUUUCUUAUACAUCAUCCGAUCCACUUGAAAUGUAGUAUACAUGAUCAUGAGUUAAUGAUGGACAUUUUGACACAGUCAAUUGAUGACAUCAGUUUAGCCCCGCCCACUAAGAAACAAAUGAGUAUAGCUUCCAUCAAGAAGGUCGAUUUACUCCGAAAUGAAUAUGGUUGAUCUUUGUCAGCCCCCAAACACCACUAUUGGAUUACAUUGAAAUAUGGAUUAACAGCACCCCCUAGGAUAUUUCAAGUGCUCUAUCUCCCUCAUACAUAAUCGGAUCCACUUGAAAUGUAGUAUACAUCAUCAGGGAUCAAUGCUGAACAUGUUGGCACAGGCAAUUCAUGGCAUUGUUUUAGCCCCGCCCACAAAUAAACAAUCCCCCUUAGUGGCAACAAUUGGAAGUGAACAGCGGCCUCAUUGGUGGCGUGCAGCCGGCGAUGCCAGGCUCCCGCGAUCUCUGCACAGGCCGAGUUGCGCUGAGGUGCGAAGGAUGCCAGGAUCUGCUGGAGGUUUCUUCUUGUUAAAGAACAGUUCUCCUUUCUGUUGCAUGCAUUCUCAGUAUGAGGGAUUGCUGCAAGUCACUGACUUAAUGCCAUCAGCUAGGUUUGCUUAGAAAACCACUGUUGAUUAGCUAGGAUCAAUUUGAAAUGUUUGUAAUUCACUUUGAAUCUGUCUGUAUGAUUUGACUGAAUUAAUGGUGUAUUUCUGUAAAUAAUUGUGUGGGGUUUCUUAUAUAACGUGCCUUUUGACCCCACCUUUGUUGUGAUGCAGUUUACAAAUAAACUGAAUUAAAUUGAAAAAUAAAAGAAAGAAAUGUUAAAA